ACACCGCCGCGUGUGUGAUGAAGGGUUUCGGCUCGUAAACACUGUUGUAAGAGAAAAUGACAUUGAGAGUAACUGUUCAAUGUGUGACGGUAUCUUACCAGAAAGGAACGGCUAAUAACGUGCCAGCAGCCGCGGUAAAA
rnacentral:rRNA from 1 species